GCUCCGCGGGGCUGUUGCUCCUGCGUCCUCCUCUCUGUGUGAACCCUCGACUGUGAGAGGAAAAGUGCUGAGGAGGCAGACGCAGACGGAGCAGAUGUCCUAGGGAGACUGAUCUUGCUCUUCCCUGUCUUUGCUGAGAACAUUCCCUCCUGUGUGACCUUGGCAGUUACAUCUUGAUUGGAUUUCUUCCCUGGAAGAAGUUCAAAUCUCCUAGGCAUGCUGCGAGGAGAGCUGAAAGCUGAUGGGAAUGAGGGAUGCUGUAAUGAUCAAGUGUCUUAAUACUGAGAAAGGAGUAGAGCUUUACAUUUAUUUUCAUUAACAACAAAGGGCAGAUUGUAAUUCACCAGGCCAAUAAAAAAAAAACCAAACCAUAACAACAACAACAACAACAACAACUGAACAAAUGAACAAACAGACAACUGCCACAGAAGCCUAAGAGAGAUUUGAAAACUCGCUCUUGGGAUUAUCACUUUAAAUACCAGUGUGCCCGUGGAAAGGAUGGUUGGUUCUGUAGCCCCUGCAAACUCGCUGCCAUGGAAACAUCUGGGCUGCAGUGUUAACAGUGAAACUUGUCAGAAAAAAUCAACUCUGGCACAGGGAAGUGACAGCGAAUGGGAAAUAAUUUCGACCAUGGGGGAGCUUCCAUUAAGCAAAGCAUAUGUAAAACUGUCUCAGGAGACAGAAGCAAAUACAGAUGUGUUUCAUUCCUGCAACUGUCCUUAUUAAGAUGGGUAAUAGGGAGAGAGAGAGAGAGAGAGAGAGAGAGAGAGAGAGAGAGAGAGAGAGAGAGAGAGAGAGAGAGAACACACUUUGUUGACUUCCCUUCACGGCCCUUUUUAAAAUAAUCGUUUUGGUUUUAAUAUACGCAUACAUUUGUUAAUUGUUAAAAGCGAACUCUGAGGACACAUUUCCUCUUGCAAGCUGACUUAGUUACACAGUCAAUCAAUUUGAAAGCAAACUUGUAUUGUUUCUCCUUUAGGGUGGAUUCCUCCAAAAAAUUAUCUCCAGAUUUUGGCAGGAGGUAGUUGACUUUCGAGACAGAGAGAAUGAUGGGAACAGGGAGGAAGGGUGGUAGGAAGGACCGGAAUAUUAGGACCUACACCAUUGUCCUUCUGAUCCUUGGUAACUUAGGCCACCAAAAAGAAACAACUCUGCCUUUCAUCUUCAUUUUUGCCUUUAAAAUGGGAACAGCUGUAGGGUAAGGUACAAGGAAGUGCUUUUUGAGUUACAGUGUGGCUGUUACGAGCUGCCACUUUGAAAGUGUUCAUUCCUUUUUCCCAAGGAAGUGGGAACAAGGCUACCUGUUUCCACUGCAAAGCACGGUCACGUCCUGGAGUGAGGUAGCCUUUUCUUAUAGAUGUUUAAGGGAAGGUUCUGUGCCAGGAAUGGCCUGUGUUGAAUCUGAGGGAAUUAAUUAAGCUAUAAUUGCCUGUAGACAAAAUUCUCCACCCUGGAAUGGUCUAUAGGGGAAAGGAGAAAAGGAAGGUAGAUGUUCCAGCAGGAGAAGAAAGGUGAGGGGCAGGUAAAUAUGGCUGAAGGACAGGGAGAAGAGUCAAAAGACACAGUGUGUAUCAAGGCCCUGGGUGGACAGGAUGUCUGCUCACUGAAAUGGAAGAUUGAAAUAGGUUAGUGUGUCUGGGUGGGGAAGGGAAGUGCUGGUUAAGAUGAGGGCCAGGUAGCGCUGGCCUCAAGCCCUGUUAUUCUGAGUGAAGAAGGAAACCAUUGGGAGGGUUUGAAACAGUCCAGUCACACCCAUCGCCUUCCUGGGCUAUGCUACAGAGUCUUUUCUUGAGUGCAAAUCCUAGUUAUUUUUAGAGUACCUUAACACACCCUUUGAAAUCGAUUCGUAGUAGACGGUAAGCUUAAGAGGUUGAUGGUUCUGAAGAAUGGAGGAAUAAGAGAACAGACUGAGGCUUUUUAUCAGGAAGGCAAGCAUGUAAUGAAGAGACAAUCUCUGAAUUUCACUGCGUGCGGAGAAAUGACAUUGUUGGAGGAUUUUGAUAACGUGCUGUAAUCCCCCCCCCAAACAGUCAAGAAUUUACAGAAUACUGUUUUCAGCAAGAAAAAUGCAUAAAACUCGUUUCUAUUAUGC